GUAAAAACAUUAAAAAAAAAAAAAGACCCCCACCUUUGAUUUGGGCUUAAGAGAGAGCAUGAUUUUCAUCUGUGUUUCAGCAUUGUAUCUUUCAUAAUGACUGGGUUCCCAGAUGAAUGACUGGGUGUCCCAGUGAAGUUGCCCUAAUGUCUUAAAAAUGUCUUCCUCACUCUAGAGAAGAUGAAGACUGUGGUUAUAGGAACAGGAAAUGUAUCAAAUGGAAGAGCUACCAGGCAUAUCCCUGAGAACUGAACAGUGGCAUCUCAUGGACUAGGUCAAUAGUGGCUAUAGAAUUUAGUCGGUUUCAUUUCUUAGAACUGUGCAUAUGUGUGUGCACGUGUGUGUAUACAUGCAUGUGCGCAUGCGUGAGUGUGUAAGGUGCAGCCUGCAAAGAUGACUUCUUUCUGCCCUGAGUACCUCAGCUUAUCAGUUUACUCAGGGCCACAAGACUAUAAGUAGAUGGACAGGUGGCAAAUUGGAUUAAGGGGAUGCCUGAGGGAUGUUUGUCAUUUGAGCAGGAGGCAGAUUUCGUGUUUGCUAAACUCUCUUCCAGGGCAGUCUUAGGUAAUGGGGGUGUAGGAGUAUACCUAGAAGGGCUGAAGGAGAAGUUCUACAGAGAGAGACUGAGCACCGCUGCCAUGGGGAAUGGAAAGCUGGUUGGAGAGGGUAGGUUUAAGAAGACUUUUGAGGGGCUUUAAUGAUUUAUGCCCAGAAACUUAUGUGCCCAGAAACUUCUAUGAAAAGCCCACGUGUGUUACACAGUAACAAGGACAGAAACAAGGAGAUAGGGGCUAUCUCUGACACAGGGAGUCAGGAAAGACUCUACUCAAGAAGCAGCAUUCCAACUUUAUCUCGAAGGAUGGGAGGGAAUUUUCUAGAAAGAAAGAGAUGGGUGGGGAAGUAGGUCUCAAAAGCAAGCCCAUGGACAGAUGCUGGUGAUUCAUUUUUCACUGUGCCUUAGGGGAAACGAGAAAAAUAAGGGCAAGGUUGUAAGUCUUUCAGAAAGCUAGAUUUAUGGAAUUUGAAGGAACUUUGGUAGGAGACGAUGUCCUUUCUACCUUGGGAGUAUUGUCAAUUUUCUUUCUUUUAUGAAAUCAAGGUGCUAAUAGUUGGUAUUAUCAUAAGAUAUAGUCUCUCUUGCUUAGCCAAAUACAAACAACACACACAUUUCCCACAUUAAAAAAAAAUGAACUGAAAUCCCAAGGCCUGACUGAGGGCAGUGCAUUCUAGGUUAAGGGAGCAGAGGACGCGAAGACCAUCCUGCCCGGACAGGCCAGGGUAUAUGUGGAGAACAGAGAGGAACCGUGUGUGAUGAGGAUGGGGAUAGAGCAGUGGUGUAGGGUUAGAUGGGGGAGGGUCUUUCAUAGGGAGCUCAGAAUUUAUCCUUGAGGAAACAGGAACCAGCAGGGGUUUAUAAGUUGAAGAGGGAGCUGAUUAAUUUUCUAGAGAGAGGGGCAGGGAGAGAGAGAGAAAGAGAGAGAGAGAGAGAGAGAGAGAGAGAGAGAGAGAGAGAGAGAGAGAAUCCCAAGCAGGCUCCACGCUCAGUGUGGAGACCAAUGAUGCAGGGCUCAAUCCCAUGACCCUGGGAUCAUGACCUGAGCUGAAAUCAAGAGUUGGAUGCUCAACUGACUGAGCCACCUAGGUGCCCCUAAAUUUGAUUUUUUUUUAGGAGGGUUAAUUUGGGUUCCAGUAAAACAGAUAAACUGAGGAAAAGAGAGAUGAGACAAGAAGACCAAUGAGGUAAUAUUCCACGGAUAAGAUGAGGAGAUUUUGACCAGUAGCAGUAGGAAUGAGGAAACAGAACAAGAUACCAGAGACUAUUCUAAGAUAGCAUUGGCCUCAAAGACCUUUGGUGGAAGGCUGUAAGGAAUCCUUUAGGGAACUAUCAACUAACAGAAACAACCAGCAAAUUCAAGUUUACCUCCACAAGCUCCUUAACAAUUGUAUCCACCUCAUCAUGUCAUUGGGAGAGGUCAGUGAAUGAUAAGCUGUUACUUGGAACACAGAGGGAGAAACUGGAUUAUAGUUUAGUCUUAUCAAAAGCCUCAGCCAACCCUUGAGGAGCUCUGAAGCUAGGAGAACCUUUCAGAGUUGUCCAGAGUUGGGGUAGAGGGACUAGGUCUUUAUACCCUGAGAUGGGUCAGUUGCUGGAUAUGGGCUGCCGCCGUGAAGGCAAUAUGCCUCACUCAAAGUGGCUUACUUCAGCCAAAAGCAACUCCUGGAGAAGGGCUGAAAAUGGCAGCUGUCUGCAGGCGAACACCCAGCAGUGGGGGAAGUGAGUCCUCCACUCUGGAAUGGAGAACUAGAUCGGACCACAGAGCAUCCACCAUGAUCCAGCCACCAAAGAUCAUUUUACAUACGCAUGGAAAACAUAGUAGAAGUGAUCAGUGUGUGAUAAUUUCAAGUAUUUAGGUCACUUCCUCACUUUCAAAGCAGAAACAAAAAUAAAUACAGAAUCAGAGAAUACAGAAUCCUAGAAGCUGGGAGGCAUUUUAGGGUUUAUCUCCUCUGAUUGCACUCUUUACCCAUGAAGCAAAUUAAACAACAGAGAGGUUUAAUGACUGACCCAGGUCACGGCAUGAGUCUAGAUUUAAAUUCAGGUCACUGAACGUCAGUGGCCCUGCCACCAUAUCACAAUAAACCACAUUAUAACAGGAAUGGCAAGUAGAUUUCAUCUUUUAUGCCAACGCUAAUGAAUUGGUAGUGUCUGCUGAAAUGAGUAUGUUGGGAAGGAUGUUCAAACUAGAGCCUCAGUAGAAUAAUCUUCCCAGAGACCUAUUCUGGGACUCCUAUUCUGGGUCCAUGACCUAGAGACGAACACAAAAAUGACAAGCAAGUUAAAAAUGAGAUUUAUAGAGGAAAAUAGACUAUUAUCCUACAAGAGAAAAUGCCAGACUUGGUUUAUUUAGAGCUUUAAGGUAUCUAGCUGGAUUUCUUUAUUUCCUCAGAUGAUGCUUCCUUGAGUUAUAUUUCCUCUUUCCUCAUUUGCAAAGUGAGGGCGUUGGGCCAUGUAAUAAUGGAGGCUUCUUUCAGCUAUCCCUCAAGGGCAUCCAGAAAUCUCUGUUGAGGAGGUGAAUGCUCUUGGGACAACUGAGAAGGCUGAUGGCAUUUCCAGCUCAUCCUACAUGACUGCAUGAAGGUGAACCAGAGCAUAUAUCCUCAUUCCUCAUAGUGACCAGAGGCUAGGGCUCCAGAGUCAAAGCUCAUAGGAAUUAAACUUUAAAAAAAUAUAUUUUUUAAUUGUAGUAAAAUAGGCAUACCGUGUAAGUUAGCAUUUUAACCAUUUUUAAGUGUACAAUUCAGUGGCCAGAAGAACAUUCACAAUGUUGCUCAACCGUGUCCAGAAUGGUUUCAUCAGCCCAUGCUGGAACUCUGUGCGCAUUAAAUAUUGACCCCCUCCAUCCUUCCUCCCCCUCAUCCCCGGUAACCUGUUCUACUUUCUGUGCCCAUGAUUUUGCCUAUUCUAGGUACCUUAUUUAAGUAGAAUCACAUAAUAUUUGUACUUUUGUGCCUGGCUUAUUUCACUUAGGAUAAUGUUUUCAAGGUUCACCUACAUUGUAGCAUGUAUAAGUAGUUCAUUCCUCUUUCAAGCCGAAUACCGUCCUAUUGUACGUAUAUGCCACAUUUUAUUUUGUUUGGUGUAAAUAAUGCUGCUGGGGGCAUAAUACUUUUUGCACCUAGUUCAUGCCUAAAACCUUAGAAUCCUGACAUCACUGGAGAUCAUGUAUUGCUCAUGUUAGAGAUGAAGAAAUAAAGGCCCAGAAAGACCAACCCUUCACUCAUGACAGCCUGAAGAGGAGGUACAAAUACCACAAGACAGAAAACUUGGAUUCACUACUUGGCAGAAUCAUGGUAAAAUGAGUGUACCACUUUUUACAGUCCUUGUUCAGUGUAUUUGUGGGAGAUGAGGGAGGUACGAUCUUAAAAUAAUGACUUAUUUUACUAGAUACCCAGUUCUUAAACCAAGCGGUCCAGUUAUCUAUUGUUUUAUAAUAAACCACGCUAAAUUUAGCAGCGCACUGUUUUGUUAUGCUCACAAAUUCUUUGGGUCUGGAAUUUAGACAGACUGGUGAUUGUCUCUCUCUGCUCCACAAUAGCUCGUGUCUCAACUGGAGAGACUCACAUAGCCAGGAGCAGCUUGAACGGCUGGCCGCUAGAAUCAUCUGGAGAUAUCUGUACUCAUAUGCCCAAGGUCUGAGCUGCAAUGCCUCAAAGGCUGGCUCAGUUAGACUGUUGAUUAAAAGCAUCUACAUCUGACCUCUCCAUGUGUAUUGAGCCUCCUCACCGCAUGAUGGGAUCAGGGCAAUUGUACAUCUUACGUGGUAGCUCAAGGCUCUAAAAACGAGUAUUCCAGUCAACAAGGCAGAAACAGCAUGACUUCUUAUGAGCUAGCCUUGGCAGUCACAUAUCACUUUCACUGUUCCCGGCUGGUCACUCACAAGCCUGCUCAUUUUCAAGGAAGGGGCACAAACCCCACAUUUCAUGGGGAAAGUGUCAAAGGGCUGAAAACCAUUGCACCUGGUGAAUAUUGCCCCCUUCAAAGUGGACACCAACUGAAUUCUGUCUCCUUCAAAGUGGUCCCAUUGGGAUACCUUGUAAUAUCCCAAUGCUGCCAUCGUUGCUUAUGGCUUUCUAAGGUGCCCUUUUGGAAACCCAUCCAGACUCCACUGAGCAUCCUUUUGACUUACUGGUGGUGGUGAAUCUUCAAAGGUAGAUUCGAUUUGGGGGAAACACAGGGACGGAGGUGGAUGGAUAACUGAACAUUUAUCAAACAUUUUAGUGGCCUACAAGUAUGUGCUGGGCACACAUCAGUACGUAGUUCGAUUUUUAGUUAAAAACAAACUAACAGACUUGAAGUCUGACCAAGAAACCCUAAACAGAUUGACUGUCUUUUAUGUCUAGCAAUUGCUUGUGAAGGUCCAAAGGAACCCAUUUAGCACCAUUUAUAUUUGGGGCAAUAGUUUCCUCCUAUCCCCCACAUCUUCCAAGGCAAAGCCAUGGAUAGGUAAAUUCUGGUGUGUUUACUAAAAAUAUCAUCUCCAUGAUUUUUUAAAUCAUAUUUUCAAGGAGGUAACAGGUUCAUUGGACAAGAUCCAUGACUCCAUAUGCUUUCUUCUGAAUUCACCCAAGUGGUGGAGCUGUGUAAGGGAAAGAAGGAAUACAUAUUCUACUUACACACAUGGCACCAGAUCAGUUUUGGUCUUAUGCUGAUGGCUCUGCGAGCUUAUUGAACAUGGCCUUGGGCCUUCAUGUUUUAGAUAUGAAUGUUGUCAGGGAAGUCUUAAGCAUAGAAAGCAGUAUUUCUACAGACCUUGGCUCUGGUGUCCUUGCCUCCUGUCUAUUUGGAGCCUUGUCCUAGAGGGCUGUUAGGUUGCCAAGGCAACCAGCGGUCCUCUGUGAAGUGUUCCCAGCGUUUCCCAUGAAUACACAGACAGUUUGUGUCUGUAGUAUAUCAUCUGACUUUUUACAUAGCCCAGAGUAGAAACUUAACGGUGCUCAGGUUGGAGAAGGUCUUCGUGGAAAUCCCAGUACCAAUUACUCCUUCAUGGCAAGAAACUGAAGUCUUCUAUGUAACUACCUAAAGCUAAAACCUCCUUUUGUGGACCCCAUCUUUUUCACCUACUGGAGGAUGCCUUCCCCGUCUGCCCCGCGUUAUCAAAUUUUUGUUCUCUACUGAAUCAUUCCCACCACACAAACAUGUAGUUUUCAUUUUUCCCUUUCCCAUCCUUUGUCAGACAUUUUAUUUCUACAUAUGUUAGAAAUAUAGUAAUACAUUCUUAUUUUUGUUUUAAGCAACUAAACAACAACAAAAACCAACAAAAAACUUUUUCGCCCUACUUCCCCUGCCAACUAUCACCCCAUUAAGCUGCUCCCCUGUGUAGCAAAACACCUGUAAAAUAGCUUUCUGUAAUUGCAGCAUUUAAUUCCUGUUCUCUCUCUCUGAGGCCAAUUCCAAUCAGGCUUUCACCCCCUGCACAUCUGCUCUCAUCAAGGUCAAUCAUAACCACCAUUCGUGUUGUUAAAUCCAAUGCCCUACAUUCGGUCUUCAUCUUCCACUGGAUCCAAGAUCUCUAAGCAAUGUUUGUCCCAGUAGGUCACUCCAUCUUCCUUGAUUUAUUUUUUCCACCUGGCUUCCAGGGCCGGCACUCUCUUGGUUUCUUUUUCACCCCUCACUCAUCACUCCUUUUUUAAAUCUCCUUUUUAGGUUUGUCCUUCUCUCCCCAACUUCUAAACACAAGAAUGCCCAAGAAUCUUGGCUGUCCUUUUUUCUCUAUGUACUCUCAUUUCUCUGGUGAUCUCACAUAAUCCCAUGGUUUUAAAUACCUCAUAUUCAUCCCAUGCGGACACCAUACACGUUUCUAUCUCCAGUGCAGACCUCUCUCCUAAAUGCCAAACGUGAAUAUAUCCACUUGGAUGGCUAAGAGGAAUUUCAAAGCUAGCAUAUUUAACACUGCCUCUACUUUCAGUAUUCCCCAUUUCAAGUGGUGGCAAAUCCAUAUUCCAAUUGCUAGACUGAAAAUAUUGUUGAUUGCUUUACCUCACACACAUCACAUAUCCAUUAAGAAAUCAUGCUGGUUCUACCUUCAGAACAAGCCCAGAAUCCACACACUUCUCACCAUCUUCCUUACUACUGCUCUGGUUCAGGCUACCACCACCUCCCUCCUGAAUUACUGCUAUGUCCUCCUAAUAGGUAUCCCUGCAUCUAUCCUUCAGUUUUCUACCGAACCCGUUUACACUUAUUUCCAACAGAAGUUAGACCAUGUCACUUCUCUGUUCAUAUUCUCCAGUGCCUCCCCAUUUCAUGCAGAGGAAAAACUAAAGUUCUUACAUAGUAGCCUAUAAGGCCCUAUGUGAUCAGUUCCCAUUACCUCCCUGACUUCAUUCCCUGCCAUUAAUAUCCUCACACCCUUCUCCUUGGUCACACCGGUCUUACUGUCCCUAGAACAUGCCCCUCCUUGCUACAAUGUAAGUUCUAUGAGGCAGGGGUCUUUGUAUGCUCUGUUCUCUGUUGUACCCCAAACAUACAAGAGAGCCUGGCACAACAGUAGAUUCUGCAAUAAGUAUUUGUUGAACGAACGAUCACAUAACCACCAGGCAUCCCCUGAAAACAGUGAGAGAAGGUGAACUCUCUCACCCCUUUGGCUCUGGAAGAGGGCAAACUGCUGCCUGCUGGCCAACAUCAAACCCACUGCUUGUUUUUGUAAAUUAAGGUGCAUUUAAACCAUGGCCCAAAACAUCAGUUUGCAUGUUAUCUGUGGCUGCUUUCCCCACACACCAGACCAACAGAGUUGAGUAGCUGCCUCAGAAAAUGUAUGGUCCACAAGGCCAAAACUC